rnacentral:lncRNA from 1 species
UAUUAUAGGUUGAUUUCAGUUUCAAUUUCAGUUUUGUAUCUAUUACAGUUUCAAUUCAUGUAAUUGGGUACUGAAUCAAUGGUGGUUUAGGUUGAUUUGGGACUGUGAUUUUGGUUCAUUCACAAUGAUCAGGGGAAAAGGGAUAUGGCUCACUCUGCUUUCUCUACGUUUUGGAUAGGUUACUACGUUUUGGAUUCAGAAUUAUAGAUUGGAAUUUACACUCUAUUCUCACUCUCUGCAGCAAUAUUUAUAUGUAAUGUAUGGUUAUUUGAGUUAAAGACUGUUAUUUGGGUUUAGGACCAGAUUAUUAAUUUGCUGCGAGAGUGAAUGAGAAAAGAUUAGGACAUAAUGUGUAAUAUGAUUUAUACACACAGAUAUGUGAUGUGAUGGUUAACUUGUGGAUCAUUGAAGAGACCAUGUAUAUGAGAUGAGUGAAAAGGAAAUCAACAUAUUUUUGUAGAAGGCUUUACUUGUUAGACUAGAAAUGUGGAUCGUAAGCU